UGAGGAAUAUUGGUCAAUGGACGGAAGUCUGAACCAGCCAAGUAGCGUGCAGGAUGACGGCCCUAUGGGUUGUAAACUGCUUUUGUAUGGGGAUAAAGUUAGGGACGUGUCCCUAUUUGCAGGUACCAUACGAAUAAGGACCGGCUAAUUCCGUGCCAGCAGCCGCGGUAAUACGGAAGGUCCAGGCGUUAUCCGGAUUUAUUGGGUUUAAAGGGAGCGUAGGCUGGAGAUUAAGUGUGUUGUGAAAUGUAGACGCUCAACGUCUGAAUUGCAGCGCAUACUGGUUUCCUUGAGUACGCACAACGUUGGCGGAAUUCGUCGUGUAGCGGUGAAAUGCUUAGAUAUGACGAAGAACUCCGAUUGCGAAGGCAGCUGACGGGAGCGCAACUGACGCUUAAGC
rnacentral:rRNA from 1 species